CCUACGGGAGGCUGCAGUGGGGAAUAUUGCACAAUGGGCGCAAGCCUGAUGCAGCCAUGCCGCGUGUGUGAAGAAGGCCUUCGGGUUGUAAAGCACUUUCAGCGGGGAGGAAGGCGUUAAGGUUAAUAACCUUGGCGAUUGACGUUACCCGCAGAAGAAGCACCGGCUAACUCCGUGCCAGCAGCCGCGGUAAUACGGAGGGUGCAAGCGUUAAUCGGAAUUACUGGGCGUAAAGCGCACGCAGGCGGUCUGUCAAGUCGGAUGGGAAAUCCCCGGGCUCAACCUGGGAACUGCAUUCGAAACUGGCAGGCUAGAGUCUUGUAGAGGGGGGUAGAAUUCCAGGUGUAGCGGUGAAAUGCGUAGAGAUCUGGAGGAAUACCGGUGGCGAAGGCGGCCCCCUGGACAAAGACUGACGCUCAGGUGCGAAAGCGUGGGGAGCAAACAGGAUUAGAUACCCGAGUAGUC
rnacentral:rRNA from 1 species